rnacentral:ncRNA from 2 species
GUAGGGGGAACCUGCGGAAGGAUCAUUA